AUGUCAAUAAGCGGAGGAAAAGAAACUAACCAGGAUUCCCCUAGUAGCGGCGAGCGAGCCGGGAAAAGCCCAACUUGAAAAUCUCCUGCUUGCAGGCGAAUUGUAGUCUAAAGAAGUGUCCUCUGUGACCAGCCGAGCCCAAGUUCCCUGGAAGGGGACGUCAGAGAGGGUGAGAACCCCGUCGGUUUCGGUGUAGGUCACCCCACGAGGCGCUUUCGCAGAGUCGGGUUGUUUGGGAAUGCAGCCCAAAGCAGGUGGUAAAUCCCAUCUAAGGCUAAAUACUGACCAGAGACCGAUAGCGCACAAGUG
rnacentral:rRNA from 1 species